ACGGGGGAGGCAAGCGUUGUCCGGAAUCACUAGGCGUAAAGGGCAAGUAGGCGGAUCAGUAAGUUACGGGUUAAAUUUAGAGGCUCAACCUCUAACCAGCUUGUGAUACUGCUGAUCUAGAGUCAGACAGGGGAAGACGGAAUUCCCGGUGUAGCGGUGGAAUGCGCAGAUAUCGGGAAGAACACUCAUGGCGAAGGCAGUCUUCUGGGUCAUGACUGACGCUCAAUUGCGAAGGUGUGGGUAUCAAACAG
rnacentral:rRNA from 1 species